GGUCAGGAUGAACGCUAGCUACAGGCUUAACACAUGCAAGUCGAGGGGCAGCAUGAUCUUAGCUUGCUAAGAUGAUGGCGACCGGCGCACGGGUGAGUAACGCGUAUCCAACCUUCCCUUAGUAGGGCAUAGCCCGGUGAAAAUCGGAUUAAUACCCUAUGUUGUGUCAUGAGGACAUCUGAAUAACACUAAAGAUUUAUCGCUAAGGGAUGGGGAUGCGUCCGAUUAGGUAGUCGGCGGGGUAACGGCCCACCGAGCCCUCGAUCGGUAGGGGUUCUGAGAGGAAGGUCCCCCACACUGGUACUGAGACACGGACCAGACUCCUACGGGAGGCAGCAGUGAGGAAUAUUGGUCAAUGGGCGUAAGCCUGAACCAGCCAAAGUAGCGUGCAGGAUGACGGCCCUAUGGGUUGUAAACUGCUUUUAUACGGGGAUAAAGGGAGGGACGUGUCCCUUAUUGUAGGUACCGUAUGAAUAAGGACCGGCUAAUUCCGUGCCAGCCGCAGC
rnacentral:rRNA from 1 species